GUUUCAGUGCGUUUGCCAUCAGAUGUCGCUUCUGACUGUUGAAAAGAGAUCAGCUGUUAUUUGUUUAUAUUUUUGCUGAAAAUAAAAUUAUUGAUCAUUUCCAAAAAGCAAAAUAUAUUUUCAUAAUGUAAUGUUUUUUACUCUAAUUUUUUGAGCCGAGGUGUAAAUUAUACAACUAGACAAUUUGUGUAGACCCUAAAAGUCCAGUGAAAAGUGACUACCUCUCAGUAUGAAGUGCAAAUGAUAGGUGCAGAUUUCUAUGGAAAAACAGCUUCCGCCAAUGUUCAUGUGGUACAGCGGUCCGAAUACGGAAGCACUUAUACCAGUGAGAAGGUUGUUGAGUAGCACAAUUUAAACUUCUACAAGAAAGUCUCGUUAGGUGGUUGUAGUUGUUGGUUACAACCAAGUCAUCUUCAAGUUAACAAGACUAUUCAAUUCUGCGGAGCACCGAAGGGAUCGAUCACAAUAAAUAGAACGAUCCCUUUCAAGGUUCAAUUCAACCAAAAGCAGCUACGUUUAGCGUCAACGCUUACUAGCAGCUAAUAUUAAAAAAGACUGCAGAGCCCAGAACAACCGUAAGAUCACCUACAAAAUCGAUACCCGUGCGCCUUGUUUUUUUGUAAGUGUAUUUCUUCAAGCUGACGCUACCGCCGACAUCAACUAAGCCACUGUAAUCACACUCUACAAAGUCAUCCACGCACUCGUCAAGAUUAACCUGAACAUAUAUUGCGAACUUUGGUUCCAAAUCGCACCAAGUAUAGUUAUCGGGGGCGGCGCUAAAAGCGUGAAGCACCUUUAGCUAUAAACAAGUUCUUUCAAUACCGACUGUCAGUAUUAGUCUACACUACUUUCUAUUUAUUUUAGGUCUUUCAAUUCAAUUGAUUCUCGCUACCAAAACUAUUUGGAAAAAUGAGUGUAAGGCUUGUCCACUCCUUUGUAUUGGUCAUACUUUUGCAAUAACGGGAAUCAAAUUAAUAAUAAAUGCGUCAUAAGAUCCGACAAAUUUGUCUAAGUCCGUCAGUCCGAGUUUAUUCUUGUUACAGUAUCUGAAAUACUGCGUCAUAACGUCCGGAAUCUCAUGACGCACACUGACAUUGAAAUGUUAUGACACAGAGGUAAUGCUUAGUAUUCUGGUUCAUACUAAAACUAAAAAGCAAUAUUACUAAAAAAUACUGAACGAUUUUCGUUGAGAUCUCGGUUGAGAAAUUACUGUCAUGUGAUUUCUCUGAACA